UUAGAAUUAGGUUGUGGUAAGGGUUAAAGUUAGGCAUUUAGUUGUGAUGAUUAAGGUUAGGGUGAGGGGCUAGGGAAUGCAUUAUAUCAAUGAUGGGUCCCCAAAAAGAUUUUCAAACAAUCCCAUGUGU